ACCAAUUCCGUAGGAGAAAAUCCGUUCCUUAUGGUGUAAUGGCUCGGAUGCUAGAUAAAUUUAUACAAAUGUGGUUUAUCCUGAUCGGUGACUUUGUUUCUUUUGGUGUCAUAUGAUCCUGGAAAGGCUUCAUACAUUU
rfam:Spinacia oleracea cultivar SynViroflay scaffold5459.con0012.1, whole genome shotgun sequence.